rnacentral:rRNA from 1 species
UGGGGAAUAUUGGACAAUGGGCGAAAGCCUGAUCCAGCCAUGCCGCGUGUGUGAAGAAGGUCUUCGGAUUGUAAACUAUCUUAGGUUGGGAGGAAGGGCAGUAAGCGAAUACCUUGCGGUUUUGACGUUACCGACAGAAUAACCACCGGCUAACUCUGUGCCAGCAGCCGCGGUAAUACGGAGGGUGCAAGCGUUAAUCGGAAUUACUGGGCGUAAAGCGCGCGUAGGUGGUUCGUUAAGUUGAAUGUGAAAGCCCCGGGCUCAACCUGGGAACUGCAUCCAAAACUGGCGAGCUAGAGUAGGGCAGAGGGUGGUGGAAUUUCCUGUGUAGCGGUGAAAUGCGUAGAUAUAGGAAGGAACACCAGUGGCGAAGGCGACCACCUGGGCUCAUACUGACGCUGAGGUGCGAAAGCGUGGGGAGCAAACAGG